CACGUAGUUAGCCGGUGCUUAUUCUUACGGUACCGUCAUGGACCCAUCGUAUUAAGACAAGUCUUUUCGUUCCGUACAAAAGCAGUUUACAACCCGAAGGCCUUCAUCCUGCACGCGGCAUGGCUGGAUCAGGCUUGCGCCCAUUGUCCAAAAUUCCCCACUGCUGCCUCCCGUAGGAGUCUGGGCCGUGUCUCAGUCCCAGUGUGGCUGGUCGUCCUCUCAGACCAGCUACAGAUCGCAGGCUUGGUGAGCCUUUACCCCACCAACUACCUAAUCUGCCAUCGGCCGCUCCGUCCGCGCGAGGUCUUGCGAUCCCCCGCUUUCAUCCGUAGAUCGUAUGCGGUAUUAGCACAGCUUUCGCUGCGUUAUCCCCCACGAUCGGGCACGUUCCGAUGUAUUACUCACCCGUUCGCCACUCGUCAGCAUCCGAAGACCUGUUACCGUUCGACUUGCAUGUGUAAGGCAUGCCGCCAGCGUUCAAUCUGAGCCAGG
rnacentral:rRNA from 1 species